rnacentral:rRNA from 1 species
AAUAAACGCUGGCGGCGUGCCUAACACAUGCAAGUCGAGCGAGAAAGCUCCUUCGGGAGUGAGUACAGCGGCGAACGGGUGAGCAACGCGUGGGAAUCUACCCUUCAGUGAAGAAUACCCUUGAGAAAUCGAGGUUAAUACUGCAUACGUCCUGUAAAGGAGAAAGAUGGCCUCUUUGCUGUCGUUGAAGGAUGAGCCUGCGUACUAUUAGCUAGUUGGUAGGGUAACGGCCUACCAAGGCGAUGAUGGUUAACCGGCCUGAGAGGGGGUACGGUCACACUGGAACUUAGACACGGUCCAGACUCCUACGGGAGGCAGCAGUGAGGAAUCUUGCGCAAUGGGCGAAAGCCUGAUCCAGCAAUGCCGCGUGUGUGAAGAAGGCCUUCGGGUUGUAAGGCACUUUUGUCCGGAAAGAAAUGGCUCUGGUUAAUACCUGGGGUCGAUGACGGUACCGGAAGAAUAAGGACCGGCUAACUACGUGCCAGCCGCCGCGGUAA